GACGAACGCUGGCGGCGUGCUUAACACAUGCAAGUCGAACGGAAAGGCCCUGCUUUUGUGGGGUGCUCGAGUGGCGAACGGGUGAGUAACACGUGAGUAACCUGCCCUUGACUUUGGGAUAACUUCAGGAAACUGGGGCUAAUACAGGAUAGGAGCUCCUGCUGCAUGGUGGGGGUUGGAAAGUUUCGGCGGUUGGGGAUGGACUCGCGGCUUAUCAGCUUGUUGGUGGGGUAGUGGCUUACCAAGGCUUUGACGGAUAGCCGGCCUGAGAGGGGGGACGGGCACAAGGCUCCUACGAGACGGCGCAGUGGGGUACGGUGGACAGUGGGCGAAAGUAUUACACAGUGGGGCGGAGCGUGAUACGGCAACGCCCGGUUCGGGAUGACCGCCUUCGGGGGGUGAACCGCUUUCGCCUGAGACGAAGCGUGAGUGACGGUAACGGGUAAAUAAGCACCGGCUAACUACGUG
rnacentral:rRNA from 1 species